rnacentral:misc_RNA from 1 species
AUUUCUCAACCUUACUAGCUUUAUUGCCAGUCUGGCUUGGACUUGGGGGUUUUUUGCCGGCUUCUAACAUAACUGAGGUCAGCUCCCCUUAAAUGCAUUAGCUGGUGCCCCGUCGUGGACAUUCGUCUAUUGGUGUGAUAAUUAUCUACGCCGUGGAUGGUCUGCGUUUACUGCGCUGCUUACAAUCGUCCCUUUGGACAAAUCUAAUGACUA